rnacentral:rRNA from 1 species
CCUACGGGUGGCAGCAGUGGGGAAUAUUGCACAAUGGGGGAAACCCUGAUGCAGCGACGCCGCGUGAGUGAAGAAGUAAUUCGUUUUGUAAAGCUCUAUCAGCAGGGAAGAAAAUGACGGUACCUGAGUAAGAAGCCCCGGCUAACUACGUGCCAGCAGCCGCGGUAAUACGUAGGUGGCAAGCGUUAUCCGGAUUUACUGGGUGUAAAGGGAGCGUAGACGGGAGGUCAAGUCUGGAGUGAAAGUCGGGGGCUCAACCCCCAGACUGCUUUGGAAACUGUACGGCUGGAGUGAAGGAGAGGCAAGCGGAAUUCCUAGUGUAGCGGUGAAAUGCGUAGAUAUUAGGAGGAACACCAGUGGCGAAGGCGGCUUACUGGGCUGUUACUGACGUUGAGGCUCGAAAGCGUGGGGAGCAAACAGGAUUAGAUACCCGUGUAGUC